rnacentral:lncRNA from 1 species
GUAAGAGGGUCUUGUCUUUACGUAUGAGGUUCAUGUGCUAUUCUUUAUCCCAGUGCUUGUCUAUUUUGCCUGUUUGCUGUAAACUCAUCUUGGAGGUAAUGAAUGUUUAUGAUAUAUAGUGUUUUAAUUGUCUCUUUAUUAAAGACAGUAUCUGAUGGAGAAUUAUUGAUAUAGGACAAGAUGCACGGGGGUCAAAGAAAAAAAUAUUUUUCUAGGAUUUGAUAGUUGUAAAAUAGAAGAUUUUAGAUAAGAUAAAAGAAGGAAGAAAAACAACCAGGCUCGAUCUGGCUUAAAAAUUAACUUCGAGGGAUCCAUGUUUUACACUACACCUCUCACACAUAGACAAUGAAAUCAUACGAUUGAAAAAGGAGAAGUAACCACCUACAAUUCAUAUAUUUUAUGGCUUAAAAAUUAACUUUGAGAGAUCAAUGUUUUACACUACACAUCUCACACAUAGACAAUGAUAUCAUACCAUUGAAAAAGGAGAAGUAACCGCCCACAAUUCAUAUAUAUUAUGGGAAAAAGAAUUGUUCAUUAUUCAUUGAUUGACGUUCUAAUUUUAAUGUCUUUUUGCUUUCUAAGGACCCCAAGUACAAGAAUAAAAAAGAAAAAUUACAGAAAUAAGGAAGAAUAAAAUAAAAA